rnacentral:rRNA from 1 species
AUUGAACGCUGGCGGCAGGCCUAACACAUGCAAGUCGAGCGGAUGAAGGGAGCUUGCUCCUGGAUUCAGCGGCGGACGGGUGAGUAAUGCCUAGGAAUCUGCCUGGUAGUGGGGGAUAACGUCCGGAAACGGGCGCUAAUACCGCAUACGUCCUGAGGGAGAAAGUGGGGGAUCUUCGGACCUCACGCUAUCAGAUGAGCCUAGGUCGGAUUAGCUAGUUGGUGGGGUAAAGGCCUACCAAGGCGACGAUCCGUAACUGGUCUGAGAGGAUGAUCAGUCACACUGGAACGGAGACACGGUCCCGACUCCUAAGGGAGGGCGCAGUGGGGAAUAUUUGACAAUGGGCGGAAACCUGGUCCAACCAGGGCGAGUUUGUGGAAGAGGUCCUCCGAUUGGAAAGCCCUUUUAGGUGGGAGGAAGGGCAGUAAGUUAAUACCUUGCUGGUUUGACGGUAACAACAAAAUAAGCACCGGCUAACUUCGUG